GGAAGCGUGGAUGAGAGGCUUAAAUCACUUUCCUGCUAAGAAAGAGUUCGGCUUAAAACUGAACCGUGGGUUCGAAUCCCACCGCUUCCACCA
rnacentral:tRNA from 1 species